rnacentral:rRNA from 1 species
AGAGGUUGAUUCUGGCUCAGGAUGAACGCUGGCGGCGUGCUUAACACAUGAAGUCGAACGAAGCACUUUAUUUGAUUUCCUUCGGGACUGAUUAUUUUGUGACUGAGUGGCGGACGGGUGAGUAACGCGUGGGUAACCUGCCUUGUACAGGGGGAUAACAGUUGGAAACGGCUGCUAAUACCGCAUAAGCGCACAGUAUCGCAUGAUGCAGUGUGAAAAAACUCCGGUGGUAUAAGAUGGACCCGCGUUGGAUUAGCUAGUUGGUGAGGUAACGGCCCACCAAGGCGACGAUCCAUAGCCGACCUGAGAGGGUGACCGGCCACAUUGGGACUGAGACACGGCCCAAACUCCUACGGGAGGCAGCAGUGGGGAAUAUUGCACAAUGGGCGAAAGCCUGAUGCAGCGACGCCGCGUGAGCGAAGAAGUAUUUCGGUAUGUAAAGCUCUAUCAGCAGGGAAGAUAAUGACGGUACCUGACUAAGAAGCACCGGCUAAAUACGUGCCAGCAGCCGCGGUAAUACGUAUGGUGCAAGCGUUAUCCGGAUUUACUGGGUGUAAAGGGAGCGCAGGCGGUGCGGCAAGUCUGAUGUGAAAGCCCGGGGCUCAACCCCGGUACUGCAUUGGAAACUGUCGUACUAGAGUGUCGGAGGGGUAAGCGGAAUUCCUAGUGUAGCGGUGAAAUGCGUAGAUAUUAGGAGGAACACCAGUGGCGAAGGCGGCUUACUGGACGAUAACUGACGCUGAGGCUCGAAAGCGUGGGGAGCAAACAGGAUUGGAUACCCUGGUAGUCCACGCCGUAAACGA